rnacentral:rRNA from 1 species
AGGAGUUUGAUCCUGGCUCAGGAUGAACGCUAGCGGCAGGCCUAACACAUGCAAGUCGAGGGGCAGCAUUACUUUUCGGAGUAGAUGGCGACCGGCGCACGGGUGCGUAACGCGUAUGCAACCUACCUUUUACAGAGGGAUAGCCCGGAGAAAUCCGGAUUAAUACCUUAUGGCACUAUGGAGUGGCAUCACUUUAUAGUUAAAGAUUUAUUGGUAAAAAAUGGGCAUGCGUGACAUUAGUUAGUUGGUGAGGUAACGGCUCACCAAGACGACGAUGUCUAGGGGUUCUGAGAGGAUGAUCCCCCACACUGGUACUGAGACACGGACCAGACUCCUACGGGAGGCAGCAGUGAGGAAUAUUGGUCAAUGGGCGAGAGCCUGAACCAGCCAUGCCGCGUGCAGGAAGACGGCCUUCUGGGUUGUAAACUGCUUUUAUACGGGAGCAAAACGUCCCUGCGGGGAAGAUUGAGAGUAUCGUAUGAAUAAGCACCGGCUAACUCCGUGCCAGCAGCCGCGGUAAUACGGAGGGUGCAAGCGUUGUCCGGAUUUAUUGGGUUUAAAGGGUGCGUAGGCGGCGUAAUAAGUCAGUGGUGAAAGCCGGCAGCUCAACUGUCGAGGUGCCAUUGAAACUGUUAUGCUUGAGUACAGACGAGGUAGGCGGAAUUUAUGAUGUAGCGGUGAAAUGCAUAGAUAUCAUAA